GGCACGGAGGGGGCUGCAGCAGGGCCAGCACUGCUUCCCCCCGGCCUGCAGGGGGCAGAGCCCUCCACGCCCCCCCCCUCGCCUAGCACCGAAUCUGGCUCUGUUCCUGGGCCGGGGAUUCCUGGCUGGUCAGCCUCCAGGGACCCAGGUUGGGAGACCCUCUGAGGCUGGGUGGUGGUGGUGGGGCGCCGAGCCUCCCCAGGGCACCUGCUGUCCCCGAGUGUCCUGCUUCGGAGGCCGCUGGAGUCGGGGCUGUUUUCCUGUGUUGCGACCUUGACCUUUGUGGCGAGGGCUGUACCACGCAGGGCCCCAGCCUCCAGAAAGCUGCUCCUGGGGCGGGGAGGGGGGUCCUCACACCUCCCCCUCGGGGCUCUGCGCCUGCAGUGGGCUCAGGUCAGGACGGCUCUGGCCUGCAGCCAGUGUGCUUGCGCCUGCCUCCCCUGGAGCCCCCUGCAGAGUGGCCUCCAGGCCUGUCUGCCCCCCGCCCCCACUCGCCAGGGAGUUUCUCACCUCCGGGCCCCGGGGUCGACUCAGCAGACGAGUUCCUUGGCCCCGGAGGCUGGGACCCCAGGUCAAGUGGUCCGCAGGCCACGCUCCCCGUGCAGGCGCCAGGGCGGGUCUGUCCACCCUCUCCUGCUUCACGGGCUCCCCGGGCCGCUCCGUGGCUGCAGCCGUGUGCCACGUGGCUGGCUCCCUGUGUGGUACUGGGGGCCUGCCUGUGUCCUCCUCGUCUGAAUUGAACCUGUUAGACCGGCAGUGGCCCAGUUUGCAGAGAAGCCGGGGGUCAGGGCCCUGACACGCCUUACUCUGGGCCCGGCGAGUUGACCCCUACAGUCUCUCUCUCCUCAGUGAGGAGUGCGGCUCCCACCCCACAGUCCCUGACGUUCUGUGGGAGUAACCCAGGGAGGAAGGGAGUGAGGUCUGAGUGUGAGUACUUAGUUACUCAGGGUAGGAGUGAGGUCUGACUGUGAGUACUUAGUUACUCAGGGCAGGGGUGAGGUCUGACUGUGAGGAGCUACUCAGGGCAGGGGUGAGGUCUGACUGUGAGUACUUAGUUACUCAGGGCAGGAGUGAGGUCUGACUGUGAGGAGCUACUCAGGGCAGGGGUGAG